rnacentral:rRNA from 1 species
AUGGGCGCAAGCCUGAUGCAGCGACGCCGCGUGAGGGAUGACGGCCUUCGGGUUGUAAACCUCUGUUAGCAUCGAAGAAGCGAAAGUGACGGUAGGUGCAGAGAAAGCGCCGGCUAACUACGUGCCAGCAGCCGCGGUAAUACGUAGGGCGCGAGCGUUGUCCGGAAUUAUUGGGCGUAAAGAGCUUGUAGGCGGUUGGUCGCGUCUGCUGUGAAAGGCUGGGGCUUAACCCUGGUUUUGCAGUGGGUACGGGCUAACUAGAGUGCAGUAGGGGAGACUGGAAUUCCUGGUGUAGCGGUGGAAUGCGCAGAUAUCAGGAGGAACACCGAUGGCGAAGGCAGGUCUCUGGGCUGUAACUGACGCUGAGAAGCGAAAGCAUGGGGAGCGAACAGGAUUAGAUACCCUGGUAGUCCAUGCCGUAAACGUUGGGCACUAGGUGUGGGGGACAUUCCACGUUUUCCGCGCCGUAGCUAACGCAUUAAGUGCCCCGCCUGGGGAGUACGGCCGCAAGGCUAAAACUCAAAGAAAUUGACGGGGGCCCGCACAAGCGGCGGAGCAUGCGGAUUAAUUCGAUGCAACGCGAAGAACCCUACCAAGGCUUGACAUAUACUGGACUGCGUCAGAGAUGGCGUUUCCCUUCGGGGCUGGUAUACAGGUGGUGCAUGGUUGUCCUCCA